GACGAACGCUGGCGGCGUGCUUAACACAUGCAAGUCGAACGGAAAGGCCCUGCUUUUGUGGGGUGCUCGAGUGGCGAACGGGGGAGUAACACGUGAGUAAACUGCACUUGACUUUGGGAUAACAUCAGGAAAAUGGGGAUAAUACCGGAUAGGAGAUACUGAAGCAUGGGGGGGGAUGGAAAGAUUCGGCGGUUGGGGAUGGAAUCGAGGCUUAUCAGCUUGAUGGUGGGGUAGGGGAUUACCAAGGCUAUGAAGGGUAGCCGGCCUGAGAGGGUGACCGGCCUCAUUGCGACUGCGAUACGGCCCAGACUCCUACGUUCGGCAGCAGUGGGGAAUCUUGCACAAUGGGCCGAAGCCUGAUGCAGCGACGCCGCGUGCGUGAUGACGUCCUUUGGGGUGUAAACCGCUUUCGCCUUUGACGAAGCGUGCGUGACGGUAAUGGGUAAAGAAGCACCGGCUAACUACGUG
rnacentral:rRNA from 1 species